rnacentral:rRNA from 1 species
UACGGAGGGUGCAAGCGUUAUCCGGAUUCACUGGGGUUAAAGGGUGCGUAGGUGGGCAGGUAAGUCAGUGGUGAAAUCCUGUAGCUUAACUACAGAACUGCCAUUGAUACUAUUUGUCUUGAAUACCCUGGAGGUGAGCGGAGUAUGUCAUGUAGCGGUGAAAUGCUUAGAUAUGACAUAGGACAUCUAUUGCGAAGGCCGCUCACUACGGGAAUAUUGACGCUGCGGCACGAAAGCGUGGGGAUCAAACAGG